rnacentral:tRNA from 1 species
GCCCGGGUGGCGGAAUUGGUAGACGCGACGGACUUAAAAUCCGUUAUUCGAAAGGAUGUGGGGGUUCGAGUCCCCCCCCGGGCACGA